UACGUAGGGGGCAAGCGUUGUCCGGAUUUAUUGGGCGUAAAGAGCUCGUAGGUGGUUCGGUAAGUCGGAUGUGAAAUCUCCAGGCUCACCUGGAGGGUCAUUCGAUACUGCCGUGACUAGAGGUCGGUAGGGGAGUGUGGAAUUCCUGGUGGAGCGGGUGAAAUGCGCAGAUAUCGGGAGGAACACCGGUGGCGAAGGCGGUUCUGCUGGGCCUUACCUGAGCUGAGGAGCGAAAGCGUGG
rnacentral:rRNA from 1 species